rnacentral:rRNA from 1 species
AACGAACGCUGGCGGCAGGCUUAACACAUGCAAGUUGAACGGCCUAGCAAUAGGCAGUAGCGCACGGGUGCGUAACGCGUGGGAACAUGCCCUUGGGUACGGAACAACGUCGGGAAACUGACGCUAAUACCGUAUAAUAUCUCCGGAUCAAAGAUUUAUCGCCCAAGGAUUGGCCCGCGUAAGAUUAGCUAGUUGGUGAGGUAAUGGCUCACCAAGGCUACGAUCUUUAGCGGUCUGAGAGGAUGAUCAGCCACACUGGGACUGAGACACGGCCCAGACUCCUACGGGAGGCAGCAGUGAGGAGUAUUGGACAAUGGGGAACCCUGAUCCAGCAUGCCGCGUGAGUGAUGAAGGCCUUCGGUUG